rnacentral:misc_RNA from 1 species
AGCAAGGGUCUCGAUUGAAGGCUGAUUAUGAUGUAACCUGGACCAAGGAUAGCUUCUUCCAAAAGUCAAGUAGUCAAGCAAAAGAAAAGAGUGAUAGGAUGCCAGCAGUGGGAGGAGGGCACUACAGAAAUGAAGGUCCUAGACAUGAAAGAUACAUUUCUCAGUUCACUUCUGAUGAUUCACGACGGAAGAGAUUCAAGGUUAGAAACCAAGUGAUGAACAUUACAAAUAAAAAGAAUUUUUGAUGUUUUCCAAGUUUCUGAAGCCUUUUUCACAUCAGUAUAUAUAUAGCUUUACAGGCUAAACACUGAAAGUAACUUGUAUUGAAUUUAUAUUCGAUCAUAAACCCAACCUUAUUAGUGCUUGGGCUGGGCUUGGAAUCUUUCAAGGCCUGGCAAAAUCUGGUCUAUAAUGCUUGGUAAAAAAAUCAGGCCCAAAUAACAUUGAGUUGGGCUGUGGCCUAGACUAUGGCCAUGGCCCAGCUUGCCAUCUGAUGAAGUUUAUAACUGGUUUAACAUGUAGGUCUAUUUUCAUAUACUGGAUGGCUUCAGUUCAUAGAGUUGGUCCCACUAGUUUGUUGGUUGAGGAAGGGCAUGGCCCCACUGCAAAGAAGCAACAUUUUCCUCAUUUUAAAUACCAUUUUUAAUCUGAUUCUAACUGCUUAUUGAGGUCUAUGUACGACGCUAUAACUGAUGGUACAUCCUUUUGUUGAAAUGCAGGAAUAGGGAUUGUGAAACAUG